rnacentral:rRNA from 1 species
UACGAAGGGGGCUAGCGUUGCUCGGAAUUACUGGGCGUAAAGGGCGCGUAGGCGGAUCUGCAAGUUGGGGGUGAAAUCCCGGGGCUUAACCUCGGAACUGCCUCCAAAACUGCACAUCUUGAGUACGGGAGAGGUGAGUGGAACUCCGAGUGUAGAGGUGAAAUUCGUAGAUAUUCGCAAGAACACCAGUGGCGAAGGCGGCUCACUGGCCCGGUACUGACGCUGAGGUGCGAAAGCGUGGGGAGCAAACAGG